UAGCACAUAAUUCUGUGUCCAUGUAGAUCCCUGCACAAAGCAUCCGCACACAUACCCUGAUGUCAUUUUUUAUGACGUGCCUCAAGAUAAUUUAAAAGGAGUUCAUCUCAAGUGGUGGACAUGACGACUUUAAAAUACUAGUGAUUGUUCCAGCUAAUGUUGUCCCGCUCGCAGCAGGGCCCAGGGACCUCAGUCUGUAGGCAUUAAAGUACAACCGAACCUUAAUUGCCUCCAAGGAUGUGUUUGUGAUGUCAUCCUAGCGCCUGAAGGCAUUCAGUCUGCAGUGCAGUACGUCUGUCCUACUUGAGGUGGAAGAUAGUCUAGUCAUGUACAGCCAACAGGAAUCAGUCUGCAGUACGUCCUAGCUACUUGACUCAAGUCUUGAGCCAGUAGGACUGACAACAGUGGACCUCUACACUGUCGGUCUCCUUGGCUCGAUCCAUGGGUCCCACACACCACGUAGAAGAUUAGAACUAGAAAUCUUCAACCUAGUUAGGCCCACGUGGCGGUAGUGGGCUCACUUUACAAGGGGUGAUAAAACAGGAAAUGAGGAAAUGAGAAAUGAGGAAAUAAGAAAAUUUAAUAGGAAAUGAAGAAAUGAGAACGAGAAAUGAGAAACAAGCUGUUAGGCGCAGGCAGAGCAAGUCUGAAGACGAAGCUAGCAUCUACUGAGCUACAGCUGGUACACGGUGUGACACUCUACCUCUAUCUACUUGUGUGCCAUGUACGACUGGCAUGGUUCAGACAUCAGAUCUACGUACCUACGUAACGGUACUUACAUGUACUGUCCUACAGUCCCACAGUCCCAAACAAUUUACCUAGCUAUGCGUGGCUAUACUCAUUCACCGAUUUCACAAUCUGGUGGGCAAGUGAUAGUCAAUGGACUGGACUCAAUGUCAACAUCUACAUGUAAGCAACAGCAAAGAAACUUCCAAAACUGUUUGUCAAACCAAGCAAUUUCUAAUCUUCCAGUCAUGUCGUAAAGCUGCAGGAAGUAAUGACAUUAGUACACUGUACUGGUAUCAUAUCCAAUCUCGCUACAGGGUGAAUAAAGCAAUUCCCAUUACCAUUCUCACAAGCAAUGCCUAUAUAGUGAAGGCUGAUGCUAAUGAAAGAAAGCUCACUGUGCCAUCUGAAGCGAUGUAAAAUUUAAUUCCUACAAUGUGUCUGACAACCUGUACUGUGUGGAGGUGCCUAUAAUUAUAUAUGAAACUUCUCGGUGCUACUAUAUAUAUUUAAAAUACUUAGUCACCUACUAGCAUCUUGGCUGAUAUCAGUCAUUAUUGUGCAUCUAUUAUCAAUCGAUGUCAUAAUUAAUUUUGUGUACCCAUGGUGAUGAUCAUAACCUAUUUCUUAUUUCUUCA